rnacentral:tRNA from 1 species
GCUAGGGUAGUUUAUAAAAAUAUUACAUUGUGGUUGUAAAGAUGUGCCCACCCUCCUAGCA